GCCGAAGUGGCGGAACUGGAAGACGCGGUAGACUCAAAAUCUACUGGGGGUAAACCCCAUGAGGGUUCGACUCCCUCCUUCGGCACCA
rnacentral:tRNA from 1 species